UGGGGAAUCUUCCGCAAUGGACGAAAGUCUGACGGAGCAACGCCGCGUGUAUGAUGAAGGUCUUCGGAUUGUAAAGUACUGUCAUUGGGGAAGAACGGUUUUCUUGAAAAGAUUGAGAAGACAUGACGGUACCCAAGGAGGAAGCCCCGGCUAACUACGUGCCAGCAGCCGCGGUAAUACGUAGGGGGCAAGCGUUGUCCGGAAUUAUUGGGCGUAAAGGGCGCGUAGGCGGGCCUUUAAGUCCGGUGUGAAAGAUCAGGGCUCAACCCUGAGAGUGCAUCGGAAACUGGAGGCCUUGAGGACAGGAGAGGAAAGUGGAAUUCCACGUGUAGCGGUGAAAUGCGUAGAUAUGUGGAGGAACACCAGUGGCGAAGGCGACUUUCUGGACUGUAACUGACGCUGAGGCGCGAAAAGCGUGGGGAGCAAACAGGAUUAGAUACCCUGGUAGUCCACGCCGUAAACGAUGAGUGCUAGGUGUAGAGGGUAUCGACCCCUUCUGUGCCGCAGUUAACACAAUAAGCACUCCGCCUGGGGAGUACGGCCGCAAGGUUGAAACUCAAAUGAAUUGACGGGGUCAUAGCUG
rnacentral:rRNA from 1 species